AGCGAACGCUGGCGGCAGGCUUAACACAUGCAAGUCGAGGGGAGCGGCAGACGGGUGAGUAACGCGUGGGAACGUACCUUUUGGUUCGGAACAACACAGGGAAACUUGUGCUAAUACGGGAUACCGAAAGAUCGGGCCGCGUCGGAUUAGCUAGUUGGUAGGGUAAUGGCCUAGCAAGGGGACGAUCAGUAGCUGGUCUGAGAGGAUGAUCAGCCACAUUGGGACGGAGACACGGCCCGAACUCUUGCGGGAUGCAGCAGUGGGGAAUAUUGGAAAAUGGGGGCAACCAUGAUCCAGCCAUGCCGGGUGAGUGAUGAAGGCCCUAGGGUUGUACAGCUCGUUUGUGCGGGAAGCGGUACCGAAAGAAUAAGCCCCGGCUAACUUCGUGCCAGCAGCCGCGGUAAUAC
rnacentral:rRNA from 1 species